rnacentral:ribozyme from 1 species
AAAAAAAAAAAAAAAAGAAUAAUGGGUGGAAUGACACGUGAAUUCACCCAUGCUCCUCCUUCUUCCAAAACAUGUGGACAAUCCACUUUGUUAUUCAUGAUUCAACUUUCUUUGCUAGUUUGGUCGCGAUCUGGUAUCUUCCCUCAGGUCACCUUAUAAAACCAUGCAAGAGGAUGGAAAAAUGGUUGAGGCUGGUUUCUCCCACGUAUCCAUAGACAAAAGAAGGGCCAAAACACAUUCAGGAUUCCAUCAGGAUAAAAAUUAAUGAUUUCGUUGGAGGGGUAAUUGACUCUCGUUUUGUUUUCGUACAGAACCAAAAGUACACCAGAACCUUGGUAGUCAUGUCAUGUCUACCAUUCGUGGUUCUUUUUGAAUUUCGCACACGCAUG